rnacentral:tRNA from 2 species
GGAGAAUUAGCUCAGCUGGGAGAGCAUCUGCCUUACAAGCAGAGGGUCGGCGGUUCGAACCCGUCAUGCUCCACCA